UACGUAGGGUGCAAGCGUUAAUCGGAAUUACUGGGCGUAAAGCGUGCGCAGGCGGUGGUGUAAGUCAGUUGUGAAAUCCCCGGGCUCAACCUGGGAACUGCAUCUGUGACUGCAUCGCUGGAGUGCGGCAGAGGGGGAUGGAAUUCUGCGUGUAGCAGUGAAAUGCGUAGAUAUGCGGAGGAACACCGAUGGCGAAGGCAAUCCCCUGGGCCUGCACUGACGCUCAUGCACGAAAGCGUGGGGAGCAAACAGG
rnacentral:rRNA from 1 species